UACGUAGGGUGCGAGCGUUAAUCGGAAUUACUGGGCGUAAAGCGUGCGCAGGCGGUUUUGUAAGACAGAGGUGAAAUCCCCGGGCUCAACCUGGGAACUGCCUUUGUGACUGCAAAGCUGGAGUGCGGCAGAGGGGGAUGGAAUUCCGCGUGUAGCAGUGAAAUGCGUAGAUAUGCGGAGGAACACCGAUGGCGAAGGCAAUCCCCUGGGCCUGCACUGACGCUCAUGCACGAAAGCGUGGGGAGCAAACAGGAUUAGAUACCCUGGUAGUCCACGCCCUAAACGAUGUCAACUGGUUGUUGGGUCUUAACUGACUCAGUAACGAAGCUAACGCGUGAAGUUGACCGCCUGGGG
rnacentral:rRNA from 1 species